GUUCUUGUAGCGCAAUGAAUAGCGCGUUGGACUUCUACUCCAAAUGUUGUGGGUUCGAAUUCCUACCUGGGAUG